CAAGCUAACCGGAGCGUCUCGCCCGCUAGCCGGAGAGAUAAUAUGUUGCAUCGUUCUUUUAUCACUAACAGAAUCCCAAGCGAAUGCAAAUAUGUGUAAUUAAGCAUAAAAUUACCAUUCAACACGGCCACAACGCUGGAUGAGCCUUGAACACGAACAGGUCCGCUUCAGCAGAAGAGGGAAAAUGUGGGCUGUUUCCACGUCAUCAAGUUGUAUUUUACAUUGACAGAACUUAAAAUUUUAUUAUUUUUGAUUAACAUAUCAUUUUAAACUGAGACAAGUCAUGAUUAUAUAUUGAAUCAAAAGGCAUCAUUUUUGUGUCACCUGAGCUCAACAAAAUAAAAAUUGAAAGUAAAAAGUCUAACAGUAUUUAUGAACUUGAUUUUUCAUUUUACAACUACAUAUAUAUUUAAGUAAUGACAAAAGGUCCCAUUAAUGACUUUUUAGAGUGUAUAAAGGUAGUGCAAACUAUGUUGUUGGUAGGUGUUUGACCCGGAAGGGCAAAGAUUUUUUUUUGACCACUUGCUCAAACGCUACGCCAGCGUUUACGGGAUUGUUUGCUGUACCUCCAACUGCAGAGCUAACUGGUGAUAUCUGCUAUGUGCUAUGUGCUUUGGAAUAAAUGGAUAUUUUGGUAUUAGACAUCGAGGUUCAUUUAAUUGUGUAGCAUAUAACGGAACCAAAUAGUAUAGCAUUGUUACAUCAAGCGCGUCAGCCAGGCCAAGUCACGUGUCAGGCACCUCAGUAGUUCGCAGGAACAUGUCGAACUCUGCUAUUUGAGGGUGAACCUUACCACCUCAUCCCAGUAGCCUCAGAGGUGCGUAUUGAGAGCAAUCUUUUCCGUGUUGCCAGCAGGAUGUUAGCCCACAACGUUUUGCAUGAUGGCCCCCAAGUCACAGGAAUAAGCCCUGCUGUAAUUCAUGUGCUGUUCAAUGGAGACGAAGAAAUGGCAACAAUUGAGAUUGAAGACUGUCCGGAGCUACACAUCAGGAGCAUUAUCAAAAUGGUGAUUGGGAGGACUAUGUGUCAGAUAAAGCAGUUGAGGAAGGGAUUUAAAGAUGUGAUGGUAUGGCCUCUGCUCACAUCUUGGCCAGAUGUUGUCCCACUUCUUUUCCCCAAAAUGGCAGAAAAGCAGUUUACAUCCCAGGUUUUUUAAAUUAAAUGUAUUUGUGAAGCAUUGUGUCUUUGUAUUGAAAUGAGCUGGUUAAAAUGUUAUACACCUUCUUUCUCUCCAGAUCCUUCAAAUCACAUGGCC
ensembl:lncRNA